rnacentral:rRNA from 1 species
CAGGACGAACGCUGGCGGCGUGCCUAACACAUGCAAGUCGAGCGGGGACAUGCGACGGAUCGGAAGUUUCGGAUGGAAGAGAAGAUGUAUGUUCUAGCGGCGGACGGGUGAGUAACGCGUGAGCAACCUGUCCUUCACAGGGGGAUAACACAGUGAAAGUUGUACUAAUACCGCAUAAGACCACAGUGAGACAUCUCAGAGGGGUCAAAGGAGCAAUCCGGUGAAGGGUGGGCUCGCGUCCGAUUAGAUAGUUGGUGAGGUAACGGCCCACCAAGUCGACGAUCGGUAGCCGACCUGAGAGGGUGAUCGGCCACAUUGGGACUGAGACACGGCCCAACUCCUACGGGAGGCAGCAGUGGGGAAUAUUGGGCAAUGGGGGGAAACCCUGACCCAGCAACGCCGCGUGAGGGAAGAAGGUUUUCGGAUCGUAAACCUCUGUCCUUGGUGAAGAGGAAGAGACGGUAGCCAAGGAGGAAGCCCCGGCUAACUACGUGCCAGCCGCUGC